rnacentral:lncRNA from 10 species
AUUCCUCCAACAAAUAAGACAGAGAACUGCCUGUUUUUUUGGUUCCCUAUCGAAGGACGGAGCUUGGAACAACAUUUAUAACGGUUUAAUGACACAAAGAGUAAAAGGUGCUGCAGCCCAUCCAUCUGCUGAAUGUUGCCAAGUAACAGCCAUCCAUGGAACAUGGAAAAAUGAAUUCACCCGGCCAGGCCCAAAUUGUCGACCCACAGAACAUGAGAUGCAGAAGCUCUAACCAAGGAUUCCUAGAGAGAAAGAGUAGAGCCAUGAGACGAAGGGAGCCUGGGUCCCUAAAUCACCAUGUCGGAGCUCUUCAGCGAAAAGCUGACGCUGAGCUGCUACGUGAGCAAGAGACACCUUGCCCAGCUAUAGUGCAGUAAUAUCAUCAUGGCUCACUGCAAUCUCGACUUCUCCAGCUCAAACAAUCCUCCCACCUCAGCCUCCCAAGCAGUUGGGACUACAGGCACGUGUCAUUACACCCAGAGUCAUGCAGGGUGAGCCAUUCUUGCCACUGAGAAGUAUGUCAUAUCUGAGAACAACUGACCCAGAUAAUUGCUCAGUAAGAGUAUAUUUGAGAUUAUUGAAGACUUAAAAGCAUCUCAUUAUUAAAUGUGCUAUAUCAUGUUUUUCACUUUAGGCUCCAAGUGUUUUUGACUUGAUAAAGUUUUGUUGUGUUAAUUUUGAUCACUUUAAUCUUUUAUUGGAUCAUUUUCCCACAUUAAAUUUAAAUAGGAAGAACAUAUGUACUGCUGUUUUGCCAUAAACUCUGAUGUGCCUCAACUGGCUUCCAACUUCAGUCUGUUCUGGAAGGCUGUACUUACAGGUCUCAGCCAGCAAGCUGAAACUGACAAAGGAGCGUUCCACUUCUCUGCUGUAAAAGUUGUACUUACCUUGUUUUCAUGAAACCAAUCUCCGUUUCCAAGGAAACAAGAACAAAAAGGCAGUUGGCAGCUAGCAUCUGGGACUUAGAAGAACUCUCACAUGUCAAUUUCAACUGCUGGCUGCCGGCUCAAACGUAAAGAUGUGGGGUAUUAAAAUCACCUUCAGACUUGUAACGUACAAAAGAAUAUUAAGGUUUUUUCCUUAGUGUUUAAAUAAUCAAGUUUAAUAGCAAACCAUUUAAAAUAUCCUUUGAAAU